UGCAGAGAAAAUGUCCAGAAAAAGAUCUGCUUCAUAUAAUUGCAUUACCAGAACAUGAAAUGCUAAACAUCGAGACUACAACAACAAAAACCCAUAUCUACGAACAUUCAGAAGAUCAUAGUGCAGAAUAUCGAACUUGCAGUAAACGUUGAUAGGAGCUUGUGGUCACUACACCUGACCCCAGUACUGCAGAAGCUCUGCCCCAAUGGGCUGUACAAGGCCUGCUUACCUUGAAGUGUCCCCACCAUGCGGUUCAGGAAUCUGUUUGCAGGGUUUUUCAAAGCUGUCAGGCCUGAGCACAUGUAAUUGGGUUCACCACUGCAACAAAAAUUAUCUAUCCAGCCUUUCGUUGCCAUAAAACUAGAAAAUAUAC